UUGGUUCUUAAAAAAAAAAAUAAACCAAACACAAAACUUGAACUACCAAUAUGGUAAAGCAUUGUCUGUUUGAUAAGCACCUGUUUUUUCAUUUAUGUGAGAGGCAAAUCUCAUCCAGAAGACAGUGCAAGUAACAGAAACUCAUGUUUCUAGAAGUUCAGUAAAAAAUAGGCCAAGAGGCUUGUUGGGAUUACUUUGCAAUGCUACACAGUUACUUAGCUAUGUUAAGUCUUUAAGAACAGCUUAAUAAUCUCUUCUUCUAGAAAGUAGACUUUUUAGGAUAUUACAUUUCAGAUCUUAUAGGCAUUAUUCAAGAUUUCUCUCUGAGAGAAAAUGGGACUUCUGAUAAGCAUUAUAAAUGUGAUAUACUCUAAGACCUGUUUUUCAAGUCAGCUUAUUUGUUUCUAGCACUCAUCCUAAGAUAACAGAUAUUUUAGAUAAAAGACACUAUAUGCUCCAAGCCCAAUUUCACAAAAGAGAUAGGAAAGAUACCUGCAACUAUAUCCCUAUUAUUUCUAUUAAAAAAUGGAUAACACUUCACUAGCAUUUACAACAUAUAUUAGAUUUUUCACUUGAAUUUUUAUUUUCUGUUCAUUUAAAAGAUCAGUCUACCUUGUCUCAGGACACUGCAGUUUAAUAAGCUGAACAUGAAACUGGUAGGUAAAACUCUUUGGGGCAUUAUUUUUAUCCCGCUUGCACACAACUUACUGAAUGACAAGGCUCCUCAAUUUUAAUUCCUGAUUUGACCAAUGUAGCAUUUCUGGGGCAAACUAUUUACAGCCCAGUCAAGUCAAGCGCUAGACUACUCGUACUUCUUGACUGAAAUACAAAUGCAAAAUUCUCAAGGGAUUCACAUCCUGAGCUCUCUGCUUUUCCACUUCUCCGACUACAAAAUGAAGACAACAUGAAAAAAGAAUUCAAGAGGAACCCUCUGCUGAACCAAGACCAAGCCUAGCUCAGUCAUCGCUUCACUGCAACUACCUGAAUCAUAAGGUGCAAACUCUGUCUGUGGUAGACUUAACAUCUUGUCUCUGAAAUGCUGCUGGCUUCAGCUUUCCUAACACGGCUGGAUCAAUAACAGGCCAAGCUAAGACAGUUGCAAAGAUUGGAAAGUGUUGGAGGGAACAAAAUAAACAACAAGCAACAUGGAACUUUGAAGAUACUCACAGGACAAGACUACGUGUAAGGAGUCAAAAAAUUUAGAGAAAAUAUCUUCCCAUUAUCCUGCAGAAUUGAAGAUAUUUGUAAUUUGGGGGUGAUUUAAGUACAGCGCCAACACUAAAAGCAAUUCAACUCAUUUAAAAGCAACGCUGUGUGUUAAAACUUAAUUUUUUAAUCACAGAAAUACUGUAUUAUUUUGCUUUUUAAAAAAAACACACUUAUUAGUAAGUAUUAUUGAUCUAUGUGGUGUAUUUCACAAUAUUUUUUAUUUUUAAAAAAUUUUACAAAAAUGUGCCGCGAUUAUAUCUGAGCACAUGUCAACAGAUGCUAUGCAGGAAAGUAUGUGGUCAUGACAAGCACAUGGCUUAGCUGGGAUUUUAAUGCUAUAAACAUUUAAAUGGCUGUUCAGAUUCAACUUUAAUUUCAUGUUCAAGAGCCUGAUUUGAGGGGAAAAAAAUCCGCAUGUGUAUUUUUUCAUUUGUUUCUGUAAUGACCAUAGGAACACUUUAAUGUUUAAUUUUAAUGUUUUGUUUAAUAUUAUAGUGAUGACUGUGGCACUCACAUUCACAUUAUAUCUAGAAUAAUAUUUCAUGGUUUUAUUAGCGUAUGGCACUCCCACACAUACAUAAUUAUAUCAAUAAUUUUAAGGGGGCAAUAGAAAUAUCUGUUUAGCUACCGGUUGUUUUGCCCAUGCAGAUGAAUCCUACAAAUCAUGGAAUAAUUUAACUGUGAGUAGUUUGAACUGAAAUAAACCCAGGGUGAUAUUUUAAAAUUGGUGACCUAAACACAUGCACAAAGAUGUGAAAAAUUAGUCUGAAUUUCCAUGGUACCCAACUCAGCCCCCACUGGGCGCUCUCAUGCUUGUACAUCUCUGUAAAUUCAACCAUUUGCCUCCAGGAGUUUCAACAUAUUUUUUGAGUGCAAACUUGCAUUAAUAAAGUUUGAGUAUUUUGGAUUAGGAUUAGUCAUUUCUUUGAGAUUACAUUUCAAAUCUGUCAAAUUUGAUCUUUCCUAUUUUUCUGUGAGAGAAAAAGCAUGCCAGCACCAGGGUACAGUAAAUGGAAAAUAUUGUGCAUUCUGCACUCAAAUAUGUGUUACUCACAUAACUGUUGGUUGCAAACAUUCAACCUUAAUGGUCUGGAACAAACUUUGAGCAUUCAGCUGAAGUGCAGAUAUCCGCUGUGCUGUUCCCCAAGUCCUAUCAUGUGUUUUCCAGGCUGCUGGCUACAUUUUCAACCCACAUUUCUCUUACUUAUCACAUUUUUUAAAUGAGUGAAUGAAAUGUUUAUAUCACAGUCAAAUUGGGCUACUUGGUUUUUUAUUUCAAAUAAAUGAUGAUUAGAGAAUGGAGUAUCUUUAAUGCAAUUUAUAAAAAUAACAUAUAUGCCAAUAACAACAUUUCUGAGAGCUGGAGCAAAAAGAAAAAGCAGCUAGUGGUUCUCUCGCAUAAAAAGAGACAGAUACGCUCUCAGCCUCAGGCCUGCAAUCUGACCCCAUGCUAGCAAAAUAUUGCUACCACAUAUAGCCUGACUGAACUUCAGCACAAUCUGGUGUCAGUAUAAACAUACCUACGCGAAGCAAAGUUUAGAAAGAAGGAUUUAAAUGAAUAAUAUCAUCCUCACUGUUCCUGUGUCUGCUGAAGGCUUGCAACCCUGGAGAACUGUGGCAUGGUUGGUAACCACUUUAUUUCAGAUAGGAAAGCCCAGAAGUGCCUUUCCUUUUUCAUUAGCAAUCAGGGGAUGCUUUCUCAGAUAACUGGU